CCUACGGGAGGCAGCAGUAGGGAAUCAUCCGCAAUGGACGAAAGUCUGACGGUGCAACGCCGCGUGAACGAAGAAGGUUUUCGGAUCGUAAAGUUCUGUUGUUAGGGAAGAACAAGUACCGUUCGAACAGGGCGGUACCUUGACGGUACCUAUCGAGGAAGCCCCGGCUAACUACGUGCCAGCAGCCGCGGUAAUACGUAGGGGGCAAGCGUUGUCCGGAAUUAUUGGGCGUAAAGGGCGCGCAGGCGGUUUCUUAAGUCUGAUGUGAAAUCUCGUGGCUCAACCACGAGCGGUCAUUGGAAACUGGGGAACUUGAGGACAGAAGAGGAGAGCGGAAUUCCACGUGUAGCGGUGAAAUGCGUAGAUAUGUGGAGGAACACCAGUGGCGAAGGCGGCUCUCUGGUCUGUGACUGACGCUGAGGCGCGAAAGCGUGGGGAG
rnacentral:rRNA from 1 species